GCGAAUGUGGCGGAACUGGUAGACGCACUGGAUUUAGGUUCCAGCGGCUCAGGCCGUGCGGGUUCGAGUCCCGCCGUUCGCACCA
rnacentral:tRNA from 1 species